ACUACUACUACUACUACUACCCUUAAAAUCCUUACUUUUCCUCACUACUACCUGUGUCUGUGUGUCUAUCAUAAGCCUAUACCUAUACAAUAAUAUCCAUGCAGAGGAAAGAGAACCAUCCAGAAAAGGGAAGAAGGUGAACAGGAUGCCACAGAAAUAGCUGGAGAUGCGCUGUACAGAGAAUGAGAGUCGGAAGAUGCAGGGAAGAACAACAAAUGGAGACACGUACAGUAUAUGGUGCCAGCUCUCACUUAGAGGCGCCGACACACCAGCUCGUCCUCCGUUAACUUUCCCGUCAAAUUAUGCUUUCUGUUGUCUAUGCCGUGAAUCGUCCCACGGUAAACUAAUGAUCGUCUUCACGGAGGAAGUAAUAUAAAGAUACGUCAAAUUAAUCUUUUUCUAAACCUUUUUUUAGAAUAUGUAAAAUCGCUUAAUUUCACAUAUUGCAUUUGACAAGUGAAUCUAUAACAGCAAAGAGUGGUUCGUUAGAUUCGAUAUGUGUUUACUCUUUUGGAAAGCUUGUAUUUCUCUACUCUUGCACGCUGGAUACCAUUGUAACUCAUUUGGUUCACCUCUGAUUUGUACAACUUUGUAUUAAUGUGCAGGACAGUGACUGAUUGUCUGUGGGUUAGCGGAGCAACACUCGUGGUGAAUUAGGGUCCCGGCGUGGCUGGAUCCGCGGCCUGCUGGUGUGAACUGCCAGUUAUGCAUUUCUAUUGGAAUGUUGUUGGGCAAGUGAGAGAGAGAGAGAGAGAGAGAGAGAGAGCCGGGAGCCAUGUUUGUGUAUUUAUUGUUGACGAAAGUGUGCGUGUUACGAGGCGAGCUUAAAAGAAAUACUCGAUUUUCAGAAACUUGACGAGAAAAAGUUGACUAAAAUGUGGUAGUGAUGCGGCGCCUUAAGGACACGGCAGAAGGGUGAGAGUGGGCGUGCAUACCUGUGGCUAUGUACCCUGCCGUGCUGACCCUUUAAAUGCACCGCCGGUCACGUGGCCGCCUGGGUUACCUGCGCUCCUUCCCUUUAACUCUUGCCGGCCCACCUGUACGUACUACCGCCACCUGUCACCUGCCCCUUUAAUUAAAUACCUGCCCCUUCCCUUUCCCUUUGCUGCUUAAUGUGGUGGUGGUUAUUGUAGUAGUUGUCGUUGUAGUGGUGGUGGUAGUGAUGGUGGUGGUGGUGGUGGUGGUGAGAAAUUACGUAACGAGAAUAAUUUAUGAAUACGAAUCUUGGAAAAUGCGUGAGAGAGAGAGAGAGAGAGAGAGAGAGAGAGAGAGAGAGAGAGAGACGUGAGGUAAAAAAAUAUAAAAAAAUGUGUAAAUAAAAGUAAAAUCUUCAAAUUAUGGUUAUGGUGCUUUUAUCUCUCUCAUCUCCCUCUCUCCUCUCCCCCCUCUCUUCUCUCCUCUCCAUCUCUCCUCUCCAUCAUCCGGUUAGUGUGUGUCAAGGGUGAAGGUCGUCUCUCUCUCUCUCUCUCUCUCUCUCUCUCUCUCUCUCUCUCUCUCUCUCUCUCUCUCUCUCUCUCUCUCUCUCUCUCUCUCUCUCUCUCUCUCUCUCUCUCUCUCUUUUGCCUUCAGCCUCCCGGAAGCUCAGUGGCAUGACGGAGGAGGGAGGAAGAAGAGGAGGAGGAGGAACACGAGGUUGAUGAAGAGUAAGAGGUUCAGAAGGAAGAGGAGAUGAAGAGGAAAUGAAAAGGGGGAAAGUAAUGAUAGAGCAAGAGGAGAAUAGUAAGAGUAAGGAUUGAAGUAAGAGGAACAUUGAAAGGAGGAAGAGAAGAGAGAAGUAAUGAAAGUGAAGAAUAUAAGAGGAAGAACUUACGGUGAAGGAGGAGGAAGAGGAGUAGGGAGGUAUUCAAGAGGAUUAGGAGGAGGAAGAGGAGGCAGGAGGAAUGCAGGUGAAGUGGUUUGUGAAGCGCAGGUCAAUCUUUGUAAAUGCCGUCUUGUCAAGGUUUAUAUAGAUUAGGUGAAGUGAGGUGAGGUGAGGUGAAGUGAGAUGAGGUUAGAUGAAGUGAAGAUCGAUUAGGUUAGGGUAGUUUAAAGUUAGGUUAGGUGGCAUGAGAUAAGGGGAAGUAAAGGAUAGGUUAGGUGGAGAAAUGUUAGGCAUGGUUAAAACGGUGUUAGGUCUGGUUAGAUUAGUUAAAAGUUAGAUUGUGUGUGGUUAGGUUAGGUGGAGUUGGAUAGAGGAGAAGCAAUGAUAGUUUAAGUGAAGGAAAGGUAAGAUUAAAAGAAGAAAAAAAACAUUAGAUCUGGUUAGAAUGAGGUUUGGCAAGGUUAGAUGGAACGAAGUGAUGUUAGGUAAGGUUAGGUUAGACGGAAAAAGAUAGGGUUCCAUUAAAUCAAAGUUGAGUUAGGUAAAAGUUUUUAGAUGAAGUUAGAUGAGGUAAAGGAAGGUUAGGUUAGGUAAGGGAAACAAACUUGGCGAAAUGUUGGGUAAAGCAAGGGAAAGCUGUAUAAAGUUAGAUUAAACGAAUAGACUCGGUGAAAUGAUGUUAGAUAAAAGUAAG